AGAAUUUUUCACAAUGGGCGAAAGCCUGAUGGAGCGACGCCGCGUGGGGGAUGAAUGGCUUCGGCCCGUAAACCCCUGUCAUUUGCGAUCAAACCUUACGACCUAACACGUCGUGAGCUGAUAGUAGCGAAAGAGGAAGGGACGGCUAACUCUGUGCCAGCAGCCGCGGUAAUACAGAGGUCCCAAGCGUUGUUCGGAUUCACUGGGCGUAAAGGGUGCGUAGGCGGUCGGGUAAGUCUGAUGUGAAAUCUCCAAGCUCAACUUGGAAAAGGCAUCGGAUACUAUUCGGCUGGAGGAAUGGAGGGGAGACUGGAAUUCUCGGUGUAGCAGUGAAGUGCGUAGAUAUCGAGAGGAACACCAGUGGCGAAGGCGAGUCUCUGGACAUUUCCUGACGCUGAGGCACGAAAGCCAGGGGAGCAAAC
rnacentral:rRNA from 1 species